AAGGAGCGCAGCUGAAAAGGACGUUUCCUUGACUCCCGAGGCCGCGGUUUGCACGGCAGCCUCCUGCCUCUGCCUUCCCUGUUGAUGUUCAAAGCCCAGCUCCGCAUCCCGAGGGAAGCUUCCUCUCUCAUCAGAGCCGGAUCCCGCAGAUCAGGAGGGCCUCAGCUUCCAGAUACGGCCCCGUGACACGCGCGCCGAGCGCCUACCGUCUGUUUAACGGCCCCAGCGUCAGGAAGGUGACUUCUCCUCCCUGGAGCAAAGCCGCAGACACACAGACGGUAAUGAUGGCGAGAGAGAGAGAGAGAACAAAAGAAAAGGAAGAAAGAAGAGAAAAAGAGGCCACCUUCCCCAGUACCUCAAGCUCCCGCUGGACGCACAGCAGAACUGCAAGGGCGAGCCGACUGAAUGUGAGACCCAGGGCGGGGGCUGCCCCGGAGGCCCUGCAGCCCGCGGAGUCUCCCAGUGUCAGUGCACUUGUGUGAUGUUCUCUGAGGGCAACGACGCCUUCGAGAAAAGCCUCCAGCUCCUUUCCCCCAAAACAGAAUUUCAUUUGAAAAUGAAAACACAGCACAUUCAAACUUGGGAGAUACAGUCAAAAAAACGCUUGGAAGAAUAUAUGAUUGUCAGGGGACCAUGGGCUGAACCCGCCCACCUUGGCCAGCGAGGCGGUUGCUCGAGCUGACUCUCAGCAGGACGCCUGACAAGGAACCCAGGGCUGCCCUGAGACUGAGCUGGAGGACUUGCGAGGGGCCAGGAGGAGGGAGGAGACCCCCGAGCUCCCAGCAUCCUUGCACUGGAAUCCGCCUCAGCCGAGAGGUGCACGUGCCACCAGGAAGGACCCUGAGCCAGACUAAACACCGGCCAAGCAAGACAACUGGAAACUCACCCCAUUCCCAUAAACCCUGAGCCUGUGAGCCCCGUGGCAGGGCAGUUCUCCCGGUUCCCUCACCUGCUGCUCUCCGCCCGGCCGCCCCUUCCCAGCACAGCCUCUUGCUUUGUCAGCACGUGUGUCUCCCCGGACAACUGAUUUCUGCGUGUCAGACAAGAGCCCGCACUCGGGCCCUGGAAGGGGUCCCCCUUCCGGCAACAUUAUGGCUUUAAAUGCCUAUAUUAGAAGAGGAAAAGGAACUCAGUAACAUAAGUUUUCACAUGAAGCUUUCACUGCUGCAGCCUGGGUUCAAUCCCUGGUCUAGGAACUGAGAUCCCACAUGAAGCCACGGAUCCCCCGGUCUCUCACCCCAAAUUCAGCCUUUUUGUACCUCAAAAGGCACCAUUAGGAAAUUGAAGCGACGGACGUACAACAGGCUGGGAACGAAUAUUUGCAAAACACCUCUGCUAAAGGACUUGAUCCGGAUACACGAAUAACGCAUGCGUGUUAUGGUAAGAAUGCAGUUCGG
rnacentral:lncRNA from 1 species